rnacentral:misc_RNA from 1 species
GAAAUGCGAUAAGUAAUGUGAAUUGCAGAAUCUAGUGAAUCAUCGAAUCUUUGAACGCACAUUGCGCCCCUAGGUAUUCCUGGGGGCAUGCCUGUCCGAGCGUCAUUAAACACCACUCAAGCUCUGCUUGGUCCUGGGGUGCGCCCGUCACCGGGCGCCCCCUAAAUCCAGUGGCGGCGGCUCCCGACCCUCCAGCGCAGUAUCACACCUCGCUACGAGACCGGGGACCGCGGGCCAGGAACCACUCCAGGUUGACCUCGGAUCAGGUAGGAAUACCCGCUGAACUUAA